UACGGAGGGUGCGAGCGUUAAUCGGAAUUACUGGGCGUAAAGCGUGCGCAGGCGGUCUGUUAAGACCGAUGUGAAAUCCCCGGGCUCAACCUGGGAACUGCAUUUGUGACUGUAGAGCUGGAGUGCGGCAGAGGGGGAUGGAAUUCCGCGUGUAGCAGUGAAAUGCGUAGAUAUGCGGAGGAACACCGAUGGCGAAGGCAAUCCCCUGGGCCUGCACUGACGCUCAUGCACGAAAGCGUGGGGAGCAAACAGG
rnacentral:rRNA from 1 species